GACGUAGGUGGCGAACGUUAUCCGGAAUUAUUGGGCGUAAAGGGUGCGUAGGCGGCAUAAUAAGUUAUUGGCGGGAAAUCGAGGCUCAACCUCGUGGAAACUGAUAAUACUGUUUUGCUUGAGUACAGGAGAGGUUAACGGAACUCCAUGUGGAGCGGUAAAAUGUGUAGAUAUAUGGAAGAACAUCAAUAACGGCGAAGGCAGUUAACUAUUCUGUUACUGACGUUGAGGCACGAAAAGCGUGGGGAGCAAAAAGG
rnacentral:rRNA from 1 species